GAUGAACGCUGGCGGCGUGCUUAACACAUGCAAGUCGAACGAAGCGCUUUUAUUUGAUUUCUUCGGAAUGAAGAUUUUAGUGACUGAGUGGCGGACGGGUGAGUAACGCGUGGGUAACCUGCCUCAUACAGGGGGAUAACAGUUAGAAAUGACUGCUAAUACCGCAUAAGACCACAGUACCGCAUGGUACAGGGGUAAAAACUCCGGUGGUAUGAGAUGGACCCGCGUCUGAUUAGGUAGUUGGUGGGGUAACGGCCUACCAAGCCGACGAUCAGUAGCCGACCUGAGAGGGUGACCGGCCACAUUGGGACUGAGACACGGCCCAAACUCCUACGGGAGGCAGCAGUGGGGAAUAUUGCACAAUGGGGGAAACCCUGAUGCAGCGACGCCGCGUGAGCGAUGAAGUAUUUCGGUAUGUAAAGCUCUAUCAGCAGGGAAGAAAAUGACGGUACCUGACUAAGUAGCACCGGCUAAAUACGUGCCAGCAGCCGCGGUAAGAC
rnacentral:rRNA from 1 species